GGCUGGUCUGAGUGCAGUGGUGUUUCAACUAAUUGAUCACAACCAGUUACAGAUUCCUUUGUUCCUUUCGCCACUUCCACUACUUCACUUGACUAGUUAAAA
rnacentral:Y_RNA from 1 species